rnacentral:pre_miRNA from 1 species
GGCGCAAACUUGAAGUAGAGUUUACUAGUAUGGUCAGAUGAUCUACUAAUCGAGUCUACUUCGAAUUUGGGCCC